GGGGGGACGAAGUCCCCCCCAACGAACAGAAACCCUAAACAGUGAUAAGACUGAUAAGAAGUUUAUACCUCCUUCGUUAAUCGUGAUUUUAGUUUAUCAAUCAUACUUAAAAGUAUUGAAAAAUGGUUGCUAAUAAUUUGAAAGAAGAACGAAGAGCUGAACCUCAGACCUCAGUUCAUGCGGAUUGAAAGAAAUAUGUAUACACUCUAAAAGAAAUCGCUGGUAACAUGUCAUUUUAUUAAAUCUAUCGAACAACAAAAUAGCCUUGAUUCGGCGAGUAAUCUAAGGGUUACUUCAGUCUAUGCGCUCAAAUAGUUACUUAUCAUUGGAAAUAGAACUAAUCUGGAGAAAGAUAGAACCGUACCUUUAGAAUUAGCUGAACAGUAAUAGAUACCUAUGCCAAACAAGUUGGCUCAAAUCGCAAAACAUUAUCACUCGUGUCAGCAAGACUGAACUGUGGUAUAGAAGAAUAUUAUUCUUAGAAUUGACUCAGCUCGUGUUACAAUUUUACAAAAAGCCGAAAAGCAAAGUAAACCUGAAAGAAAACGCUCUCAGUAGCUAAAACGUAACGUUCAAAUAGUCAACAACGAAGAAGAAAAUAAUUCAUCACAGUAUAGAAAAUUCUGCGGUGGUCCAUCGCAUUGAUAUCAAAUCAGUAUAUUGUAUGUUUUAUUAUUAUCAAUGUACCUAAGUACUUUACUUGGUAUAUCCAACUGUGUUAAUCUGUUAAUCCUUUAUUACAAAUUAAAUUUGCAUCGUGUUAGAAUAGCUAUAGACACGAUGCAAUCUAAGUAUAGAUUUCGGAUGUGCUUAUUGAGUUGUCUCAUCGUUGAUUGAGUUGUAAUAUGUAGGAGUAAUUUAUCGUUGUACGUGCAUUGUUUAAAUUUUCUAUUUCCUAUUUUUAUGUUGUGCUUUUCCGCGAUUUUAAUUUUAUGUCAACGAUUUUUUAAAUUACAAGUAUGAGGUGAGUUGUUUA